GGGAGUUUGGCCGAGUGGUUAAGGCGUCAGAUUUAGGUUCUUUCAAAGUUCAAACAUUCUGAUAUCUUCGGAUUCGCGAGUUCGAAUCUCGUAGCUCUCA
rfam:Lachancea thermotolerans CBS 6340 chromosome H complete sequence.